AGUUGAUGGACCGUUUUUACAGUUCCUUCUCUCACCUAGAAAUUCUCUCUUAGGAGCUGAUCAAAAUCAAACUAAGAAAUUUUUUACACAUGUGAGUCUUGGGGACUUCAGGGUCAUUCAAGGCAGAAUCAGGCCAUAAAUAGUAAUGCCAGAGAUGACAGGAUGUGUAGAGGGACAGGGGAAAAAUCUUACAGUGAAAGAAGAGUAGGGGAGUCUUGAAGUAUAAGUCCUUUGGGGGUCAGAGGACUUUAGAGAAGCUGAUGUUGUAAAAGAAAACAGACUUGUCACCUCUGGCAAAGCCUCAACAUAUGGGUAUGUAUCCGUCAGGGUUCAGCCAGAGAAGCAGAACAACUGGAAGAUAAUUAGAAUUAUCAGUGUCAACAGAGUAAAGAAAAGUGAUGGCCUCACCUGACCCUACACUGUCUCGUGACAUCAAGCUCUCACCAAAUGUGACCCACCCCUUGGAUCCCUGAUUCAUUCACCUGGCACCCUCCACUUUUAAAGUAUUCUAUCCUACCACUGCCAGACUCCACCUUAAGUCCCAAUCUGGUGUGAUUUCCACAUGACUGAACACCAUUCCAGAGAGCUCAUCUCUAGCUGGCACCCCUGGUUGGCCUCCUCUGUUCUAACAUUCCUAAGCAUGGACCACUCAUACCUGCAUGUUUCACAUUUCCCUGAGGGCUGGCAUCUCGUACCUCCUCCACCAGGUUUUUGAGCAAGAGCUUCUUUCACUUCAACCCCCUCUGGGGAGACUCUGUAAGCAGGCCUAUGGGAACAAACAGCAUCUUUGUCCUCACCCUUUACAUCCAAGUACAUCUGAAGAUAUCUGUUAUAAAGAGAGUGGAUUUCUAAACUUUGGAAA
rnacentral:lncRNA from 1 species